GACAGAGGGUGCAAACGUUGUUCGGAUUUACUGGGCGUAAAGAGUGUGUAGGCGGUUCUCUAAGUUCGGUGUGAAAUCUCCCGGCUCAACUGGGAGGAUGCGCCGGAAACUGGAGGGCUUGAGUAUGGGAGAGGAAAGCGGAAUUCCUGGUGUAGCGGUGAAAUGCGUAGAUAUCAGGAGGAACACCUGCGGUGUAGACAGCUUUCUGGACCAUCACUGACGCUGAGA
rnacentral:rRNA from 1 species